UAUACUGUUGCGUUUUUAAUUAAUUUAUUAUUUGCUUAAAGCGAUGAUAAUUGACAAGUGGAUUCGUGCGGUCUCUCGGUCGACGUCAAAUUAUUUACCAAUAGCAAAUUUCUUGACAUUUCGGCUAUAUACCUCGUUUAUCGUGAUUUCUCUAUUCUUACUGCAUUUAUUUUUUUUCUUUUCUCUUUUCAUUAAAACAUAUGCUUGUCCAACCAGCUGUUUGAAUUUUUGGCUUUCCGGUUCCGUGCAGUUUUUGUUAUAAAAUUCCAAAAUUCAAGCCUGGGAUGUUCAAGUUCAAGUACCCAAGGAAGGACUAUGAGUCCUCCAAGAAUGUCCCAUAAACAUUUAUAAGAAAAAGGAAUCAAGUUUUUUUCACUAUCUUCGCCGAUGCCAGGGAUGUUUCACAAAUAAUAAAAGGUUUUAAUUUUGGAGAAUGAUGGAUAGUGAAAGCAUGGCAGCUCCUUCAAGGGGUGCUAACAAUGAAGAAAGAAUUGAGGACCAUAGUGGAUCACAAAUUCAGCCGACUGCCCUCGAUGAUAUGAAAGCCAUGGAAGCGAAACAAUCAGAUACCUUUUCAGGUAAUGUCGACCAACAUUCAGAUGACAUACUUCAUCCAAAUCAGCAGACAUUAAAAAGUCAUAGUUCUACUCAUGACAUAUCUAGCCUUAAUAAAGAACCAGCUAGUAAUAUCGUGUCACAAGGUGCUAUACCUGAAAAUGAAAAUCAAUUUGCGGAAAGGAAAUGUAAAAUGCAAGUAAAUGCAAUAAUACCUGAAACUGCUGGUACAUCUAACAAGCUUAUUUCAUUUCCGGAGAAUGAACAAUUAAAAAGGCAAGCUUCUAACCAUGAUUGCAAACAGUCUGAUAAUGCGCCAAAUGCUCCACUUAAAUUUGAAAAUGAACUUAAGCCUGCUCAAUGGAAAUGUAAAAUUCAAGAAAAUGCUAUAAUACCAAAACCUAUUGGUACAUCUAAAAAGCUUAUUUCAUUUCCGGAGAACGAACAAUCAAAAAGGCAAGCUAACUAUAAAUGUACACUGUCUGAUAAUGUGUCAAAAGCUCCCCUGACAUUUGAAAAUGAAAAUAAGCUUGCUCAAAGGGAAAAUACAUUGCCCAAAUGUGGAAAUUGUCAGUUGCAAAAAGAACCUGUUCAACCUAUCAAGGGAUUUAGUCAUCUUCCUGGGAUUAAACAAGACCAACGUAAUUGGUAUUGCAGAAACCCUCAAGAAUCCACAUUUUUAAUCGAUUUUUUUAAACAGUGCUAUUACAAUAACAUUGCUUUGAGUAAUUGGGAACAAUCCAAAUCUCCUACACCAGAAAAUAACUUUGCCCGAAGGAAGUCCCAGCAAAAUGUUUCUGAUGAAGGUUCUAUACAGGAUUCUCUACAGAGUAAUAUUCAACCACCACAAAUUGCUACAGUUGAAAAAGAAAAAUCUGCUCGAAGAUUAAAUAAAUUAGUGGAAGGUGUAAGCUUGCAUAAACCUAUUGUUUUUUCCAAGGAGUCCAACUUACAUUUUUUAAAUGAUCCAGUUGAUAGGGAAAAGGAUGUAAAAAAAACUUCUAUACUGCCGAAUAUUCAGACAUCAGUAGCCAAUUCAGUAGAAAAAGAAAAAUCUGCUGAUAGGAAAAAUAAAUUAGCAGAAAAUGAGAGCUUAGGUGAACCCAACGCUUCUUCUGAGAAACCUGGCGACUGUAAUCUCAUGGAAUGGGAAAAUGUAGCUAAAAAUAUUUCUAUACAACAGGAUUCUGUUCAGCCUAAUAUUCAAACAGCACAAGCCACUAUAAUUGAAAAGGAAAAUAAGUCGGCUCAAAGAAAAAAUAUAUUAGUGGAAAAUGAAAGCCGCCUACUUGAGCCCAUUGCUUCUGCUAAAGAAUCUGGCAGCUUAUAUUCCCUGAAAAACCCAACUGAAAGGGAAAAUAUCAACAAAAUUUCUAUACGGGAUGCUGUGCAGCCUACUACUCAAGUAACACAGUCCAUUACAACUGACAAAGUAUACUUGACUGCUCUAAGAAAAAAUAAAUCAGCGGAAAGAUUAAUUGACCCGACUGUUACUGUUAAGGAAUCUGACUCACAGUGUUUGAAUAAUCCAGUAGAAAGGCAAAAUUUUAUCAACAAAAUUUCUAUGCAAGAUGCUGAACAACCUCAUGUUCAAAUAUCUCAACUUACUACAACUGACGAAGUGCACAUAGCUGCUCAAAGUUGCAGCGAAAAUGUUACCAAAAAACCAUCUGUACAGGAAUUUGUGCAGCCAAAUAUUCCAACAUUACAAGACCUUCCAAUUGCAAAAGAAAAUAAAUCUGUUCAAAGGGAAAACAAAUUAGCAGAAACCGAUAACCCACCUGAACCUACUGAUUAUUUUAAAGAAUCUAGCACACAUUGUCUGAAUAACUCAGUCGAAAGGGAAAAUGUAACCGAAGAACGGUUCGCACUGGAAUUUGUGCAAGCAAAUAUUCAAACAUCACAAGACCCUCCAAUCGAAAAAGAAAAUAAACCUGUUCAAAGAAAAAUUAAAUUAGCAGAAACUGAUAGCCCACCUGAACCUACUGAUUAUUUUAAGGAAUCUAGCACACAUUGUCUGAAUAACUCAGUAGAAAGGGAAAAUGUUACCGAACAACGGUUCGUACAGGAAUUUGUGCAGCCAAAUAUUCAAACAUCACAAGACCCUCCAGUCAAAAAAGAAAAUAAACCUGUUCAAAGAAAAAGUAAAUUAGCAGAAUGUGAAAGCUCACCUGAACCUAUUGAUUUUUAUAAAGAAUCAGGCUCACAUUCUCUGAAUAACUUAGUAGAAAGGGAAAAUGUUAACGAAAAACAGGAAUCUGUACAGCCAAAUAUUCAUACAUCAAAAGGCACUCUGAUUGAAAAAGAAAACAAAUCUGCUCAAAGGAAAGAUGUCACCAUCAAAAAUUCGGUAAAGGAAGCUGUGAAGCCUACGACAACACAAUCCAUUACAACUGACAAAGUUCAUAAAUCUGCUACAAGCCAAAAAGUUGUAAAGCAUGGUUCUGAACAACCUAAUAGUGAAGCGUCAGCACCUAACAAUGAAAAUCAAUUAAAUAAAAGCAGUCUUGUGAAAAGCGCAGAGGAUGACACAUUUUGGGAGAAUAACUUAUUAGCAGGUCUCACUGAGAAAUAUUUAUUUCAAACAAUUAGAGGCGCAAUACCUCAUUUAACUGGUUGGAGUCAAAAUCUUACUCAGCACAUAAGAAAGAAGUUUGAGUACGGGGAAGAAAAAACACAGCCAAAUCUACAAAUUGAAAACUCUACUGCAAUUAAGGAUGUGGUCGACGAUUCUGGGCAACCUGAAGUCAGACCAAAUGACUCGAAGACUGAAAUCAAUAAAGAAGAUGGUUUUAUAAAACAUGACCAAACAUCAGAUAAACAGGGGAAAACAGCAGAAAAAAGUGACAGAACAACACCUUUCCCCAAACAUAGAUUUCAAGUUAUUCCCACUCCAGAAAGUGCAGUCCUGAAAGGUUCAAAGCCAUCAAACAAAGAAAGUACCACUGCCCAAUAUGGUGUGCAAAAUAAUACAUGUAGCCAGUCAUUGCAAGGAGAUAAAAAAUCUAAAAUAUCUACGAAAAAAGUGGAUAAAACUGAAAAAUCUGAUUUUAAGAGAACUGUGCUGAAUUCAAGUUGUGAAAAGAAACAAAUAGUUACCAAAGACAAUAGGAGUACAUCUAAGAGUCCGAGAUCAUACAGAGAACCUGGAACAUCGAAAAGUUUCAAACCCACUUGUUCAUCACAUAACGAACAAAAGCAGCCUAAUAUCAUGGGGACUGUUUCAUCAAAAUCGCCCAUACGUGCAAUGUAUGCUGAACGACCAAAGCAUGUAGAAGCAACCAUGCUGAAAACUGUUUCAAAACCAAGAACUCCAAGUAUUAAGAAAGAAAAUUCAACUCAGUUUACAGCAUUUUCUUAUAUGGAGCACGAAAUAGAGAAGGAAAAGCCCCAUGAAAUUGUUACAUUUUCUCUUCCAAAAUCUGAAAUCGUAUUGGACGAUUCUAAUAGCAUUAAUUCUUCAAUUUGUAAAUUCAAUGCUGAAAAGGAAAAAUCGAAAUUUUCAAAAAGACUACUCACAGUAUAUUAUGAUGACGAUAAAAAAUUGCAGUUUGAAAGGAGUGAGAAACUACUGCCUCCAGAUAAUUUAAACAAGUUAGUCUCACUAUAUUAUGACAGUGAAACUGAACUUGAAAAGACGCAUGAUUAUGGAAAGGAAAGCUCACCCGACUCAAGGAACACGUCUCACAAUUCAAAAAAAAGUUUGAUUAUUAUUCACCACAACGGAGAAGAACAUCAUAGGCUAAGACAAUACAGCUUACCUGGGGAAUUGGACAUUAAUAGUUCUGAAAGGUGCUCAACAUCAUUUCGGCAAUCAAAAGGACGUGACAGUUCAUUGGAGAAAUCUCCAGUUCCUGAAACAAUUUUAUCCAAAAAUGAUAAAAUGAAUACUAAAGAAUCAGUUAAUAGCGAACCUUGGGAAUAUGGAACUAGAAUUGUUACAGUUUACUACGACCCUGAACAAGAAGAAGAUGGAAAGAAAAAUGAUUUAUGUGUUGCUAAGACCAAGAAGAAGCUACUGUCUGUAUUCUAUGCUAGAAUUCCUGAAUCUUCUGAAUCAUCAAGCAAAUCAGUGGAUUCUACAAAAGAUUCUCUAACCCAGUUGUUUAUUGUAUAUCAUGCUCAAAUUGGUCCUGGUGACGAUCCUCCAAAAGACGAUUCAUAUCGUAAAAAGCAUUCAAGUUCCCGCACACGUGACUCUGUGGGUACUCUUCCAAAGACAUCUUUAGAUGAAUCAAAAUAUUCAGGUUCAUAUUCAUCUGAGAUAAAUGAAGCAAUUGACCAAUAUAACCAAAAACAGCAAGAGUCUGCAAUGAAGCAAGCAAAAAUUGAGGCGUCAAAAGCUCCAGGUGUACCAGUAGCAAGAGCGGAAGCUCAUGCUUUGGGUGAAUUAUUUGAAAAAGAACUGAAAAACACUGAAGGGCGUGGAAUUCUACGACACGGUAAAUCAGAGGACUUGUCAGACGUUCUAUCUACAACUUCAAGAGAAGGUAUUGGUCAAAGUAAAGCAGUACCUGCCCGAAAACUAAGCACGGAGGAGCCUAAUCUUAUACUAGCAACCUCAGAAGAAUGGUUAUCAGUUCCAAUUUCACCUACUCCUACAAGAGCAGAUUUGAUCAACAAAAUUGCUGAACAACCUGUUCAAAAACAAACCAUAGAUGCGACUGAUAUCAUACCAGCUAAGUUAGAGGAAGGGUUAAAUGAGCCAAUACCUGAGCCAAUGAGUGAUUCCAGUCAAAUUUCUGCAACACAAUCCAGAUGGUCCAUUAAUGAAACUGAAAAUCUGCCACAGCCUGCUGUUAAUGAAAAACCUGAGGUUGCACCUAAUAAUACGGAUAAUCGUGUACCGUUGGUCACUCUUUAUUUAAAUAGGAAAUCCAAAGAAACUGGAGUGCCUGAUCCGAAAUUUGUAUCUUUAUAUUUUGAUGGAAGAAAUGAAACUGAAAAAAAAUUGGUAGUGAUUCAACACGCUUUAAUGGGUGUGGGAGAAGACAGAUCACAUGUUUUUGCUUUGCCGUCUGAACUCGCCCAAUUUUCUAAGGGUCCAAGCGCUAAAGAAAAUAUUGUAGUCAUAAUGGAAAACAAUAAUCAAAGUAAACCUUGGUUAAGUGGGAAAAAAAUUGUAACUCUGUAUUAUGAUCAUAAUUUAAGUGGAAAAGAAAACUCAAAAGAGCCCAAGAAAAAAUUACUUUCUGUCUAUUGUGCAAGACUUGAGGGAUCAAAUUCACCUAUGAAGUUGAUUAUCGUCUAUCAUUCAGUUAUUAGAUCGUCUAUGGAUUCAGAUUCUUUUAACAAAUUAACUGUAACUCAAAAUACUAUUGAUAAUACAAACAGUCUACAGAUUGUUGAUUCCAAAUUAGACAACAUAAGGAUGUCCCAAUCAGCCACUUUAAUUAACUCUGAUAAACCAUUGCUUAAUGAAACGGAAAAAAUGGUUUAUAAACUAUUUAAUGGGGAAGAACGAACAUGUGGUAGGAAGGAACAAGAAAUGGGUGUUUCUAGUGUCAUGCAACAUUUUCCGAAAAAAGAAGAAGGGAAAAAACAACGCUCACCGAUCAAUAAGAAAAUUCAUUUAAAGGAAAAUGAACAAUAUUUACCUGUAAAUAGCUCAAAAUGCUUGCUGGUUAAAGAAAAAAGAACAACUUGCUCCCCUGUGUAUAAAAUAAAAAAAUUACUAGGAAAAAGAGAAGCAAUAAAGCAAAGUUUAUCUGCUGUCAAGGUCAUGAAUGUUCGAAAAACAGAGGAAUCAAAAAGACAACAUUCACCGCCUCCUGUUAGAAGGUACAUGAAUAGAGCGCGAAGUAACGAGAGUUUUACUUUAUUGAAUGUUUCGUCUGUAGACGUACCUAGUGCAGUGCCCAGUUUACACAAUGUUAGCAGUGGGUUUGUUAACAGUAUGUAUAAAGUCUGCAAGGCUUUAGAUGGCGACGUGAUGAAAGAAAAGAAAAUUAGUAAACAACUUCCACCGGCUACUCUCCAUCCAUCGUUGCAGUGUGACAAUAGCAGUGGAACAAUUUUACCUAGUUCAUCAUCAAGUCUUGAGUCCUUGUACCCAUCUCUACAUAAUGUAAAUUUGAGGACGAGAAAUUGCAAGGAUCUUGAUGUGGGACGUUGGUAUUUGGUAAAUUGUGACAAUGAAGCAAACUUGGGAGAAAAAGACUCAGUUAGUGAAAUAAUAAGAGCCGGGAAGUCCUCUGUGGACAGCACUUAUAAUGAAAAUUGGGAAGAAAAAACUAGAAAACUAAGACAGGGAAAAAGGCCAGCUAAAAAAAAAUCAAUACUUAACAAAUCAAAAUUUUGCUUUAAUCCUUCUAGUAAAAAGAAAGAAUGCACAUCGAAACUUCGAUCUCCUGGCAAGGAUCCAUGUAAUGCAUUUGCAUCAUCAUAUUAUAGCCCAAGUGAUGCAAAUCCUUGCUGUUCAGAAUGGGGCAUGGGUGGAAAAAACCCCAGGAACACAUCAAGAAAAAGACGUGAAAAAACCAUUACAAGCUCUGAUUUGACAUUGGAGGAAUGUUACAUGCUAAUAAAUGGGAUCAGAGAUGGGACAAUUACAGUUAAAAGUACAAACGAUCAAUGUGUUGAGGGAUGUCUGAAAAAAUGUUGCGACGUGCCAAAGGGAAUGAAACGAUCUACUGUCAAGAGACAGUUGAACACCCCAUUUAAGAAACCACCUCCUCGUUCGCCUCCCACAGGGAUUGACGAUAAUGAUGUGUGUUUGCCAGCCUGUUUGGACACAACCGCUGGUUUAACAGACAAAGAGAAAUUAUGUGGUGGAAAAGGAAAAAUCCCAAAAGCAUUCAGAUACAACUAUGAAGACGAGGAGUAUUGCGAAGAUCAGAAUAAAAACAAAGGUUAUUAUAGUGGCUAUGAAGACAGUAACAGGAAUAUGCAAGAUUAUAAUUGUGGAAAUGACUUUAUGAUGGGCCCUUCACAAUAUUGUGAUGACAAAUAUGACAAAACUGCAUCGGACAUUUGCAGGAAAUAUGAAAACUGCCCACCAACUCGUAUCGCUGCAUUUGAUGUAAACCAAUCGAACACAUCUCUUAUGAGAUCUAAGUAUCGGCCUGCGAAUGCUGGUCCCUGUCGUGAGCCAUCAAGACCUACCUAUAAGACUAGUUACAAUAAGCCGUACAGUUCUUAUCUCCCGAACACGUAUUCAAAUUAUUGCAGUGACAUCCCGGAUGAUAGGCAAUGUAAAGAAAACACCCCAAGAAGGACAGUAGAUGCGUCCUGUCAACAGAAACUGGAGAGACAGGUAAAAGACAGCUAUUGUCAGACAGCACAAAAUCGUUCGUAUCCGCCUGUUAGCCAAAACCGACCUUGUUUUUGUCCAACUUCCUGUUGUGGGUAUCAUGCACCAUUCUUUCAGCCUGAUUCACAACAGAACAAGAACGAAUUCUCUUAUCCAGCACAAACAACAUCAGCAAAAGUUCAGCACAUUGGCUUAAGUCCUCAUUUAGGCACAGCCCAAAGUAAACUGUCACCAAAUAAAACCAAGAAAUUGUCACCAAGUAGAACUGUUCAGUUUGAUUCAACUAAGAAAAAUCUAGGCACAUCAAAAUAUACAUCAACGAGCGAACUGUUUAAACAACAAUCAGAAGAGAAGACAAAAAGUAAAGCUGCGAAUAAGAAAACGUCUUUGAAGAAAUCCAAAAAACCUGACCAAAAUGCAAAAGCUAACAAUUCUCCAAAAGCAGAAGCACAGCCCACCACCCAGCAAAACAAAAAAACACGAAAUAAAACGCCUACUACUGUAAAGCAAGAUGUACCCAAUCCUACAACAAAAACAUCCCUUUUAAAGAAAGACGCAUCUAACACCAAGACUGUAACAAAAGCACCCUCUUCUGUAAAGAAAGACGCACCUAGCACUAAGGCUGUAUCCAAAACACCUACUUUAAAGGCAAAAGAGCCACCUAGCACUAAAGCUGUAACAAAAGAACCCACUUUAAAAACAAAAGAGCCACUUUCUGGCUCACCAAGCAAAACAAAAACUACAAAGCCAAAUAUAAAGAAAAAAAAGUAAAAAUUGCCCCCCCCCCGCUCACAAAUGAAAUAAAGUAGGUAGAAAUUCUAAAUUCUGCUGGGCCUUGAACGUAUGCACAAUACUUUAUGGUAUCUUUCACCACUUUUUUUAAGCACAAUCACAUCAUUCAUGUACAAGUGGACAGGUAAAUAAAAAAUUCAAGAGCAACAAAGAAAUUGCAGAGAAAUCUAUUAUAAUACGUGUACCCAAAGAAGCACAUAUAGUUAUAAAGAAGAUUGAAGGAUCUGAACAGGAUAAUGUAUGCAGUAAAGUGCAACAGGAUAAUGCAUUUAGUACAGGGCAUCAGGAUAAUGUAUUUACUGGGCAACCAUUAGAUGUGUGUGGUGAUGACAGUGAGCGGCAAGCAUUAAAAGUGGACAAUUCGAAACCGGUAAAUGUGCCUGAAGUCAAGUCUACACAAACGGGCG
rnacentral:misc_RNA from 1 species